UCAAAGUCAUCGAACAUUUUGUCAGACAGUUCUCUGACCGAUAUUUUGAGGCCUGCCACCAUUUGCUGCCCUAUAUAAGGCUUACUAUAAACCCAACAAUUAAAUCAUGAAAAGCAAAGCAUCUACAAUAUCAUUGACUAGCAUGCAAGCUGAUUUAUAUACGAUCCAAAGCGAACGUCGUUAGGAUGAAAUUUCAAUAUAACCAUGAACCAUCCUCAAGAAAUAUAAGAAAAAAAAACAUACUCGGAAUAAUAAUGCGUGGUGUCGUGCUUACCACGCCUGCCUUUCAAGCUGUGAGACCCAUAGAGAUUAUAAAUAACACUAGAGGAGGCAUUGUAAUCUUAAUUCAGUAAAAAAAAGGGAACGCGACUAUUGGGGGGCAAAUUCAAGUCCCGGAUGUGUAUUCGUGUUCCUAUUGGUGACGAGUUUCAAAUCAGCCAAUGAGAGCACGAUUUUAUAUCCGGGACUUGAAUUUGCCCCCCAUUAGCUGCGUUCCCAAUUUUUAAACUCGAUGCCUCCUCUAGUGUUAUUUAUAAUCUCUAUGGUGAGACCCGGGUUCAAUCCUUGGUCGGACCUCUACUCAAGCUCUUAAAAAAAUUGA